GAUGAACGCUGGCGGCGUGCUUAACACAUGCAAGUCGAACGGUGAAGCCAAGCUUGCUUGGUGGAUCAGUGGCGAACGGGUGAGUAACACGUGAGCAACCUGCCCUGUACUCUUGGAUAAGCGCUGGAAACGGCGUCUAAUACUGGAUAUGAGCCUCUUCCGCAUGGUGGGGGUUGGAAAGAUUUUUUGGUCUGGGAUGGGCUCGCGGCCUAUCAGCUUGUUGGUGGGGUAAUGGCUCACCAAGGCGUCGACGGGUAGCCGGCCUGAGAGGGUGACCGGCCACACUGGGACUGAGACACGGCCCAGACUCCUACGGGAGGCAGCAGUGGGGAAUAUUGCACAAUGGGCGAAAGCCUGAUGCAGCAACGCCGCGUGAGGGAUGACGGCCUUCGGGUUGUAAACCUCUUUUAGCAGGGAAGAAGCGAAAGUGACGGUACCUGCAGAAAAAGCGCCGGCUAACUACGUG
rnacentral:rRNA from 1 species